AGUGAACGCUGGCGGUAGGCCUAACACAUGCAAGUCGAACGGCAGCACAGUAAGAGCUUGCUCUUACGGGUGGCGAGUGGCGGACGGGUGAGGAAUACAUCGGAAUCUACUUUUUCGUGGGGGAUAACGUAGGUAAACUUACGCUAAUACCGCAUACGACCUACGGGUGAAAGCAGGGGAUCUUCGGACCUUGCGCGAUUGAAUGAGCCGAUGUCGGAUUAGCUAGUUGGCGGGGUAAAGGCCCACCAAGGCGACGAUCCGUAGCUGGUCUGAGAGGAUGGUCAGCCACACUGGAACGGAGACACGGUCCAGACUCCUACGGGCGGCACCAGUGGGGAAUAUUGGACAAUGGGCGCAAGCCUGAUCCAGCCAUACCGCGUGGGUGAGGAAGGCCUUCGGGUUGUAAAGCCCUUUUGUUGGGAAAGAAAAGCAGCUGGUUAAUACCCCGCUGUUCUGACGGUACCCAAAGAAUAAGCACCGGCUAACUUCGUG
rnacentral:rRNA from 1 species